UUACCAGAUGUACAGUCUUUCCUUUACCAAUAGGGUAACAGCCCAACGGCUGCUUGAGAGAAACGGCCAGUUCAUGAAGUUUGAAGAGCCCAGUGUCCAAGAUUUGAUUUCAUGUUGGUUUCCUGAGAAUGGCAAGAUAAACCAGAGCCAAAAGGCAACGGAAGGCUCCUCUCCGGCUAACAGUGACAUUCAGCAAAGCGAGCAGGCA